UACGGAGGGUGCAAGCGUUAUCCGGAUUUACUGGGUUUAAAGGGUGCGUAGGCGGCCUUGUAAGUCAGUGGUGAAAUACUCCAGCUUAACUGGAGGGGUGCCAAUGAUACUGCAGGGCUUGAGUACAGAUGAGGUAGGCGGAAUUGACGGUGUAGCGGUGAAAUGCAUAGAUAUCGUCAAGAACACCGAUAGCGAAGGCAGCUUACUGGGCUGUAACUGACGCUGAGGCACGAAAGUGUGGGGAUCAAACAGG
rnacentral:rRNA from 1 species